AUCCUCCACACUGCAGCUAGAGGGAUACUUCUAGAAUGCAAAAUGCAUGAAUCAUGUCACUCCCCUACUUAACACUCAUCAAAGGCUUCCAAGUGUCAUUAAGAUAAAGUCCAAGCCCUUCAGAAUGCCCUUUGUAGCCUGGCAUCCUGCCUCCUUUUCGUGCCUAAUCUCUCAUCCUCUUGUCCUUUCCACUUUAUGUUCAAAUUAGGAAGUGGAUCUUUUUCUAGUUCCUGAACAUCAUUUUACUCCCACUCACUGAAAUCUUAGCGACCCUUUGUUUUUCACUUUAAAUAUCAUUCAGCAAAGCUUUUCUGCCCCUUAAUAAACAAGUACCCCUUCUCUGAGUUCACUCUGUAUCUUGCAUCUUCUUGUUUUACCCAGCACACUUUACCCCAAGUGAUGAUUUAACUAUCUGAUUCUCCCUCCAGAGAAGUGAGCUUUUUGAUUCUGUUCACCAUCAUAUUCCUAGCACCCAGCACAAUAUUGCAUGUCAAUUUGCUGAACGAAUGAAAGAGUGAAUGAAUGAAUGAAUUGUUGGAUGAGCCUUCUGUAGAGCUUGGUACUGAAAUUGAAUGGAGUCUUCUAUCCCUCUAUAACGUGGAGGUGAUAAAAAUACCAACGCAUGCCAUUGCUAUGAUGGGUAAAUAAGAUAUUUAUCAUACCUAAAAUGUUUGAAACAGUGCCUAUUAUGUUAUAAGCACUUCUUCCAAAUUACGAGUGCUAAUAAUCAUAUGGAUAUGUCCUCAAGAAUAUGACAAAUAGGAGUUCCCAUUGUGGCUCCGUGUGUUAAGAACCCGACAUAGUAUCUGUGAGGAUGCAGGUUCGACACCUGGCCUCGCUCAGUGGGUUAAUGAUCUGGUAUUGCCACAAGCUGAUAUGUAGGUCACAGAUGCGGCUCGUAUCUAGUGUUGCUGUAGCUGUGGCAUAGGCUGGCAGCUGCAGCUCUGAUUCGAGUUCCUAGCCUGGGAACUUCCAUUUGCCGUGGGUAUGGCCAUAAAAUGAAGAAGAAAAAAAAAAAAGCUGUGCCAAAUAAAGAAAUGGAAAAAAAAAUUAAAAGAGCAAAACAGACAAUUCAGUAGUAAAAUCUAGGUAAAUUCUUGCUGACAUUUCUAUCCUAUCCUUCAUCACAAAAAGCUUUUGAGACUUCCUGACAAUGCCUGGCAUCUGUGGUCCCAACUCAUCCACAUUUAGCAGGCAGUCGUAGAGUACAACGGAGCAAUUUCUGCCCUAGGAUCCAAGUUCAGCUCUUCUUACUAGAGUCAUUGCUGCCAAAUUCCUAACCUCUUAGGCCCUGGACCCUGUCUGUGUUCUGAGAUCUCUGACAUCUUCUCGCUACCCCUUAUAUUACCUGACCUUUUGGUCUUCGGUCCCUUGACCGCGUGCACUGGUGGUACCUGAUUAAUAGGACUUCUGCUUCUGACCCUUUCUCGUUUGGCUUGUAUCCAGGAUGGGUCAAUGGCUUUAAGGGCCUGCCCCCAGGCAGUGCCCUGUGCCAAGACACACAGGAGCAGAAUACCACGGCAGCUGGUCUACAUUAGCAUAAUUAUCGCUGAAUCUACUUUCAACCAAGUCAUUCUUUGUCUCAAACCAACCUAGUUUAGACCUUCAUCUUUAUUACUUCCUUACCAACUGCCCUUUCAACUUGGUGUCAUCUUUUCUAAGGCUUUGAUUAGCAUUCUCCUCCUGUGACAUUUCCUUGGAAACUGUUUGACUUGGUCCAGGAUUCCCGCUAUCCCUGAAUAUACUUCUGUGCUGCCCUAACUGGUCUAAGCCAGAGGUGACAAUACAGAAUAUUUAAUAAGCCAGUAAGGAGUCAAACUGAAUACUGGCAACAGGACUGCAGAAGGAUCCUGGAAAGUUCUCGUACUACAUCAAGCACUGAUCCUUUGGUAGCUGGAUCUGAGAAUAUAGAGUGAGACAUGGGAUAACAACUGCUUCAAGCUGUGUAGAGCAUUCCAGUACUCAACAACCACAACAACUGUACAUCAGCAGAGAUUUUACCCAGCAUCAUGUUUUCCAAAUCAGUCUAUUUUUUUCAUACUCUUCCACCCAAGGCAUUGCCCUUUACACUAAUCUCUAAUCUCAGGCAGUAGGAGACAGGAUUCUCACAAGGACUCUGUCUGCACAUAUAUUUGGCUUUAGUUUCUUCAUAUGGAAAUUACCAGAAGCAAAAUCACCCCCAAGGUUACUAUAUUUUUUGAGGAUAUGAUAUUGCUCGGGAAACUUCAAACUUGUGACUGUUCAAUUCUAUAAGCCCUUAAAAUUUUGUGAAUAGCAAAUGAACUAGGACGUUUGUACAUUCCUCAAAAAGAGCCUCUUCUCCAAAAUCUACUUCAGAUACAGCCAUGAUGGAUGCUAGGGAUCUUCUUAGAGAUGGAGAGGCAGAUUGUCUAACAAAACAUUGUACUCCACUGCCAUGGAAAAGCCCUUGCAUUGGAUGUGUGUUACAGACCAGUUGUCUAUAUCUAAAUCCCAGUCUUCCUUUGACUGGGGAGAGGAAGAUUGGUUGCAGUUACUCUGUUCCUUCACCACCACUGGACACUGGAGGAAAGGGGCAGAUUAGCUGUUUUUGAGCUGAGAGUCACUAGACCAGAUCUACAUCUGGAGACAAUUGCGAGGACCAGUCAUCAUUCAGAGGUAAUACACUCCAAGUUAGAUUCUCAAAUGAAUGACAUUUGAGGUUACUUCUGGUAGGAGAAGAAUGAAACCUAUCUAGAUGAAGAAGGCUGUGUAGGGAUGCCCACCAGUGAAAGGGGCAGAUUGUGAUUGGUUUAUUCAAUGCUUAUCCCUAACCUUUUUCUGUGCACAUCUACCCCUGAAGCCAGAAAAGCCACAUAUAUGCUUUUCUAGCUUCCCUUCCAAUGAGCGUGCACCACAUGACACUUCUAAACACAGAGAGACGAAGGUCAGAAACAAUGUGUGAAAGCUUUUACUGACAAAAGGAGCAGCCAUUCCUGAUUCUUUACCUCAUUUUUUUCCUGACUUUGAGGUAGACAUGAGACUUGGUGAUGUGGCAUCCACUUGAUAACUGUGGGGAAAAACCCGAGGGAGUUAAGAGUACAAGCCCUGGUACUAUUAUGCUAUUGAACAUGUCAGCAAUAAGCAACCUUCUAAUUCUUUCUUUCUUUUUUAUGCUUAACACAGUUUGAUUCUUGCUAAAUGGAAAAGAGUUCUUCAUUUAGCUUACAUCAUUGUUGAAAACUACAGGUUUGCUGUUGUGUGCACCUGAAAGCAUCUUUACUAACAGAGUCCUUCGUAACGUAAUUAAAGUCUCUACCAUCUUUAAACCCAGUGAAAACAAUGGUAAAUUUUGCAGGGCACAUCUUUAUGCUUUCUUAGGAAUAUCUCUGCUUUCUUCACAGUCCAUGUGGACUCUCUGUUCUCCACAAUGAAAUCUGUCAGGGUACAACUUCAUAAUAACCCCAACUGAGCAAACAGUACAAGGGCCAGAUGGCUAUUAUGAUACAUCUAUCUUUUCAGAAGAAAAUUUUACAAUAACAAAUUUAGAAACCUCCCCAAAAAAUUAUCAGAAGAGAAUCAAACAUAAUUGAAGCAAUAAUUAGACAUGAAUCAACAAUGAAAAAUUCAUACAAAUCAAGCUAGCACUUUUGAGCAUUAUGCUCAUGAUAAAUACUCUUGAUUACAGAUCAUUUUCCCAGGAAUAGCCCUUAAUAUCUGAGAAUCCUUCAUUACGGAAAGUUCUAGAUAACCACUACCAAGUAAUUGGAGUUGACACAUAAUGUGAAACCUUUUUCUUAACAAUUGCAUACAACACUGGGCAGUAGGUAUGGUUCAUGAUAAAACACAAUCCGUAUUCACCAGGACUGAUAACAUUUUCUUGGCGGGCAGGGGGAGGGUACCAGCUGAGUGUUUCAAUUUUGUUUUAUACCCUCUUACUUCCCUUAAGUCCUAAUUAACUUUGUCAUCUUCGUAACUACUGAGUCAAGAAGAUACACAGAAUCUCACUGAAUUUAUUCAAAACUCCAUUACUAUAACACUGUCCUCAUUGUGCCCAUAACUAUUACUAACAAACAAUGCAUACACUUUUUAUUUUAUCUCUGUCCCUUUAUCUUUGCACCUGAACAUUUAAAACUUCAAAAUUUGGAGUUCCCAUCGUGGCUCAGUGGUUAACGAAUCCGACUAGGAACCAUGAAAUUGCGGGUUCCAUCCCUGGCCUUGCUCAGUGGGUGAAGGAUCCCUGGCCUUGCUCAGUGGGUUAAGGAUCUGGUGUUGCCAUGAGCUAUGGUGUAGGUUGCAGACGUGGCUCAGAUCCCGCGUUGCUGUGGGUCUGGUGUAGGCCAGUGGCUACAGCUCUGAUUAGACCCCUAGCCUGGGAAUUUCCUUAUGCCCCGGAAGCGGCCCUAGAAAAGGCAAAAAGACCAAAAAUAAAUAAAUAAAUAAAUAAAAUUUAAAAAAAAAAAAAAAAACUUCAAAAUUCUUCUACUUUUUUUUUUUUUUUUUUUUUGUCUUUUUGCCUUUUCCAGGGCCACUUCCCAUGACAUAUGGAGCUUCCCAGGCUAGGGUCGAAUCAGAGCUGUAACCACUGGCCUAUGCCAGAGCCACAGCAACGCAGGAUCGAGCCGCGUCUGUGACCUACACCAUAGCUCGGCAAUGCCGGAUCCUUAAUCCACUGAGCAAGACCAGGGAUUGAACCUGCAACCUCACGGUUCCUAGUCGGAUUCGCUAACCACUGUACCAUGACAGGAACUCCAAAAUUAUUCUUAUUAUUGUGUGUGAAAAGGUGUUUCCUCUAUCUCUUCACAUAUGAUUAUUUAUCUGCUCUUUUGGACAACUAAGUCGGUCAAUGAAAGGAAUUUUCUAGAUAUGACUUUUGGAGGACAUCCUCUCCCUCUCCCUCUCCCUCUCCCCAUAUGGAAAAAUAGCUUCUUGCUUGAGUGACCCUCCAUUUCCUACUUCAAAUCUAUCUGGCAACGCAACCUAAAAGAUUGAUGAAAAGGAGAAGGGCUAUGAGGAGUUAAUUCUUAACACUUUUCUGCCAAAUGCAUGGAGCGUACUUAUUGGAUAUGAACUACUGAAAGAGUGCUUAAGGAUACUGCUGAAAAUACCACAACGGAGAUAUUAUCAAGAAAACUCAGGCGAUUGCUCUUUGGUGCUCUUAAAAAAGAAUUACACAUGAGAAAAGUAAAGAGGAAGUGCAAAGAAAAGAAAAUAUAGUUGGAGGGGCAAGAAUAGAACAGAAAAUUAAGUUUAAUGACAUUUUAGAAAUAGGUGUGUAGGGAGUUCCCAUUGUGGCACAGCAGAAACGAAUCCAACUAGAAACCAGGAGGUUGCAGGUUCCAUCUGUGGCCUCACUCAGUGGGUUAUGGAUCCGGCGUUGCCAUGAGCUGAGGUGUAGGUCACAGAUGCAGCUCAGAUCCUGCAUUGCUGUGGCUGUGGCAUAGGCCGGCAGCUGUAGCUUUGAUUUGACCCCUAGCCGGGGAACUUCCAUAUGCUGUGGGUGC
rnacentral:lncRNA from 1 species